CCGACGAAAAAGCACACCACCCUCGCGGCCCAGGAUGAUUUUUCGAGCCCAGCCCAUCAUCCACCUUCUUCCACUCUAAAAUCUCCGUGUCCAAAGCCCAUGCUUCGCUAGUAAACUUUCCGGCACCCAUGUGGCCCAAGUCACUCGGGUCCACUUCUCCACCGUAGAUCACUAUGUACUUUCCAAUCCCAACCGUUGAAAAUACACUUCGAGCCGUUGGUUUUUCACCCCGUAUCUGUACUUGCUCCCACUUUCCAAGGGUCGGAUCAAAGCUAUGCACAUCGUCCGUUUCCAUACCAGCGAACCCAUAUACGACCCAUAUUUUCCCUCCGGCUACGGCCAGCCCAGGCCCGCCUCGGCCCUUACAAUUUUCUCCUGGUGUUGGAUACUUGAUCCAUUUUUGUUCGACCACAUUAUAGGCCCAUAAAUCAUUAAGCCGGCCGGCGACACCACAGCCGCCGAAAAUGUACACGUGCCGAUCAUCGGAGGUGGUUGAAUGGUAACUCCGGUGAGGAGGCCCGGCAUCGCCACUAGAUAGUAGCGUCCACUUAUUAGUAUCAGUGUAAAAAGAGUAAAGCUCAUUAAGCUCCUUAUGUUCACUGUCUCUGCCACCAAACACAUAAAUAGUUUUCCCAACUGCGGCCAUUGUGACGCCGACCCGCGGCGGCGGUAUGUCUCCGGUGACUUGAAGGGUAGACCAUGUUCGGUUGUCGAGAUCAAAGACGUGCAGGUCGUUGUCGACAGGGACACGUGGCGCAAACUCGCCACCAAAAGCGUAGGCCAUGUGUCCUACUAAGGUAAUGGCGUGUGAGCUUCUGGCUCCGGGACCAGUCCCUUUCUGAUCAAGCUGAUACAAGCAGAUAACAAAAAAUUACUGAAUUCAAAUUUCUCGGAAAUAAAUUUCAGUCAAAUCAAGAAAAGGAGAUUUUGGAUUCAAUAAAAAUAACAGGAAUUGAAUUCCUAAUAUAAACCAUUUUCAUGAAAUUGAUUGAUCAAGAAGAAGAGAGAGAGAGAGAAGUUACCUCGAUCCAAUUGCCUCGAAUGACCGCCAUGGAAAAGAUUUGCACUGAGUCUCGGAAUUGAAAUGCCUUUGCGUUUCGAAGAACAGAUUAUAAUCAUACAGAGAAGAAUGUUAUCUUCCUAUUUCCAACUGAAGCAUAUGGCCUUAUUUUAGCUUUUAAUUACAAUCGUAUCGUACAAUGGUUAGCUAAUAUAAUUAAAUUUUAUUCGAAUAUUAAAUUACAGGAUUUUUCUUCAGUGAUGGGCUGAUGGCAUGCAAUGUGCCAUGCUGACAUGACAAUCCUAAUAUGUCUACUUAAUAGUUAAUUAAUUAAAACUUUAGUUCACCUAAUCUCUCACAAAAAAAAAAAAAAAAGGUCCACCAUCUGCAAACUCUGCAGGCUUCAUUUUAUAUUAUAUAUAUAAAUUAUUUCUUUUAUUAUUAUAUUUAAUUAUUUGUUUAUUUUUAAGUUAUUUCUUUUAUUAAAAUAAAUUGUUCAUCGUUAGAAAUAUAUUUUCUCACUUAAAAUAAAAAUUAGUUUCAUUUAAAACGUUUUAGUUUUCUCCUUAACCAUAAAAAAAUCUUUUGUUAAUUGAUUUUUCCAAAUAUUUCAAAUACUGCUAAACAAUAUUUUUCAAUAAAUUAUUUUAUGAAAAUAAAAGAAGCCUUAAAAUAAUUUCGCCACUAGAUAGUAGCGUCCACUUAUUAGUAUCAGUGUCAAAAGAGUAAAGCUCAUUAAGCUCCUUGUGUUCACUGUCUCUGCCACCAAACACAUUAAUAGUUUUCCCAACUGCGGCCAUUGUGACACCGACCCGCGGCGGCGGUAUGUCUCCGGUGACUUGAAGGGUAGACCAUGUUCGGUUGUCGAGAUCAAAGACGUGCAGGUCGUUGUCGACAGGGACACGUGGCGCAAACUCGCCACCAAAAGCGUAGGCCAUGUGUCCUACUAAGGUAAUGGCGUGUGAGCUUCUGGCUCCGGGACCAGUCCCUUUCUGAUCAAGCUGAUACAAGCAGAUAACAAAAAUUACUGAAUUCAAAUUUCUCGGAAAUGAAUUUCAGUCAAAUCAAGAAAAGGAGAUUUUGGAUUCAAUAAAAAUAACAGGAAUUGAAUUCCUAAUAUAAACCAUUUUCAUGAAAUUGAUUGAUCAAGAAGAAGAGAGAGAGAGAGAGAGAGAGAAGUUACCUCGAUCCAAUUGCCUCGAAUGACGGCCAUGGAAAAGAUUUGUACCGAGUCUCGGAAUUGGAAUGCCUUUGCGUUUCGAAGAACAGAUUAUGAUCAUAUAGAGAAGAUGUUAUCUUCCUAUUUCCAACUGAAGCAUAUCGUACAACGGUUAGCUAAUAUAAUUAAAUUUUAUUCGAAUAUUAAAUUACAGGAUUUUUCUUCAGUGAUGGGCUGAUGGCAUGCAAUGUGCCAUGCUGACAUGACAAUCCUAAUAUGUCUAUUUAAUAGUUAAUUAAUUAAAAAAUUAGUUCACCUUCUCUCUCACCAAAAAAAAAAAAAAAAAAGAAGUCCACCAUCUGCAAACUCUGCAGGCUUCAUUUUAUAUUAUAUAUAUAAAUUAUUUAUUUUAUUAUUAUAUUUAAUUAUUUGUUUAUUUUUAAGUUAUUUCUUUUAUUAAAAUAAAUUGUUCAUCGUUAGAAAUAUAUUUUCUCACUUAAAAUAAAAAUUAGUUUCCUUUAAAACGUUUUAGUUUUCUCCUUAACCAUAAAAAUAUCUUUUGUUAAUUGAUUUUUCCAAAUAUUUCAAAUAUUACUAAACAAUAUUUUUCAAUAAACUAUUUUAUGAAAAUAAAAGAAGCCUUAAAAUAAUUUAAAUAAAAUACAACGUUAAUAAUAAAGUGGUGGGUACAAUAACGCUAAAACAAAAAAAUAUUAUUACCAGAUCAAGAUUUUUUACUUAUAUCAAAAUUGAUAAAAUUUUCCCCUUUUCACUUGAAUCAAAUAUAUUUUUUAAUUUUUUUUUUCAAUUUCCAUCAAUAUUUUGUUGCGUUCAAAUCAAAUUGGUACCUGAUUGCAAGGUUUUCAAUAAUUUAAAUAUUUAAUUAUAAUAGUUUUUUCUAUUCAAACAGUAAAAUAGAAAAAAAUUUAAAAAUUGCGACAUUAAAAGUAUAAUUAAUCUUGGAGUAUACUAUUAAGGUAGAGUAUCAAUAAUGAAUCCUUAGAGAUACCGCUUUAAAUAGUCAUUAAUAAUAUAACACAAUUACCCUACCAUAUUUACACUUCAUAAAUCAGCCUUGUUAUUUAUUUAUUUUUCUCUUUAAUUAGUAUUAAGAAAAAAAUACAUCGGAAUCAUAUAUUAACUAUAUUCGGCAACAUCUUUUUUGGUAGCUUUUUAUAUAAUUUUUUAAUAUUUUUUCUUUAGCAUUAAGUCAAAACAUUAUUUUCAUUACUUAUCGUGUUUGGUAGUGUACCGUUGAUACAUAUUUAUAAUUUGAGAGAGCAUAUUACAAAACAUAACUCCCUUUUAAUUCUGGUUAAGUAGUUAAUAACUACUAAAACAACUAACUUUUAGCUAUACAAAAGCAAAUACGAUGGCACCUCUUUCAUUUAAUAAUAAUAUUAUUGUUAAAUCAUUUCCAAAGAGUGAGAUUGUUAAAUCAUUUCCAAAGAGUGAGAUGAGAUGAUAGAAAUUUUUUCUCCCUUAACUAAAGAUCUCGAAUUCGAUUCUUGAAUAUGAAUUCUUUUUAAACACUCGGGAGGGACCUUUUUUGUGGGCCUGUCCAUUGUGAAUCCGAAUUUAAUUGGGCCAGUGGGCUCAGACACCGAAGGAUUAAAACUAAUAAUAUUAUUGUUAUAUCAAAAUAUAUUAGUCCUAUAAAAUAACCCUCUUUUAUUUUAAAUCAAAUAUACUUUCUUAUUUUUUUUCUCUAUUUGUAUGAAUACUUUGUUGCUUAAUUAAAUGUAUAAUUAAUCUUGGAGUAUAUUAUUAAGGUAGAGUAUCAAUAAUGAAUCCUUAGAGAUGCCGCUUUAAAUAGUCAUUAAUAGUAUAACACAAUUUCCCUACCAUAUUUACACUUCAUAAAUCAGCCUUGUUAUUUAUUUUUUUUCUCUUUAAUUAGUAUUAAGAAAAAAAAUACAUCGGAAAUCAUAUAUUAACUACGUUCGGCAACAUCUUUUCUGGUAGAUUUUAAUAUAAUUUUUUAAUAUUUUUUCUCUAGUAUUAAGUUAAAACAUUAUCUCUAUUACUUAUCGUGUUUGAUAGUGUACCGUUGAUACAUAUUUAUAAUUUGAGAGAGCAUAUUACAAAACAUUACUCCCUUUUAAUUUUUGAUGGAAUUCUGGUUAAGUAGUUAACAACUACUAAAACAACUAACUUUUAGUUAUACAAAAGCAAAUUCGUUGGCACCUCUUUCAUUUAAUAAUAAUAUUAUUGUUAAAUCAUUUUCGAGAAGUGAGAUGAGAUGAUAGAAAUUUUUUCUCCCUUAACUAAAGGUCUCGAAUUCGAGCCUUGAAUAUGAAUUCUUUUUAAACACUCAGGAGGGACCUUCUUUGUGGGUCUGUCCAUUGUGAAUCCGAAUUUAAUUGGGCCAAUGGGCUCAGACACCGAAGGAUUAAAACUAAUAAUAUUAUUGUUAUAUCAAAAUAUAUUAGUCCCAUAAAAUAACCCUCUUUUAUUUUAAAUCAAAUAUACUUUCUUUUUUUUUUUUUCUCUAUUUGUAUGAAUACUUUGUUGCUUGUGAAUUAAUGUAACGCCUAAUUGCAACACUUUUAAUAGUUUUGAGAUUUAUUUAUAAACUUUUUGUGUUUUAGAUAUCAAAUAAAAAAGUUUAAAAGCUCUCACACACACCACAUAUGUAAUUAACCUUAAAAUACACCAUUAAAGUAUAGCUUAAAAUAAUGAAUCAUUAAUAAUGUAACGCAACUAUUCCCUAACCGCCAUUACACUUCAGGAAUCCAACUCAUUAUUUUUGUUUUAUUAUCUUUGGCAUUGGCAAGAAAAUAAUACACUAGUAUCAUCGCAGUGUGUGUGUAUAUAUAUAUAUAUAUAUAUCGGUCAAUCAAGUGUUAUCUGAUUAGUUUUCUUUUAAUGUCGGAGUGAGAAGUUCAAAUUCGAUUCUCUAGACAAAAAUUUUCAUCAAUUUAAUAAAUUAAGAGAGGACCAUGUCUUAUUAUAUAGCUCGUAAUAUUGUUAAUCUUCUAAUGAAUUAAAGAGAGAGGAAAAAACCACACAAAAACAAUGAACCAAACCAAACUGAUGAAAUUGAGGAAAAAUUUGUCUAGAUUCGUUCUAUGUCUCCACCUAUGAAUCAAACCAAUGAAAUUAACCCUUUGUUUGGAUGAAGGGCGAGAGGGAUCGUUAAAAUAAGUAAGGUAUAGUAAAAUAUAGUACGGGAAAGUAUGACAAAUGUCUUUUUUGUGUUUGUGGAGAAGGUAUGAUAAAUGAAGGUCUAAUAACAUUGUUUUGUUUGGUUUAAUGGUGGAGAAAUGUACUGUUAAAUAUAAAUAUUACGAAAAUACCCUUGUCAUGGAAGAUUUAUAAAUAUAAUUAUGAAUAAUUUUGAAAAUUAAAAUUUUUAACCAUGUUUACACCCUAAUUCAGGUUGUUGAAGAUUGGAGUGUUUAGAUGGAUUUUCAAUCCCUCAAAUAACUUUCAAAAAAUCAUACUCUCACUCAAGCUCUUUUCCCAAAUGAUUAGAUAAUACAUUUUACUCUCCAAACCUAUUAAAUAACCUCUAUAAUCUGUAAGAAUUUUUUAAAGAGUGUCAGCGAUUUUAUUUUAUUUUAUUUUUUUAUUUUUGUGUAUAUUAAUGGUAAGAUAUCAAUUUUAACUUUUAGACAAGGCAUAAGACAGGAUAAGAUAUCAAUUAGUAGAUUAAUGGUAAGCAAGGUGCACAUCACAAUGAAUUAUUCCAUAUUUAAUGAUUAUUUUAAUUUGCUUGACGUAUGGAAUGAUUAUUUUCAUGGCUAAUGAAUGAAUAAAUUAAAUAAAAGAGUGCUCUUACCACCAGUUGAAACCGGUGCUACUAAUUUGUGUUCUUAAGAAUAUAAAACUUGCAUUUGGUGGAUUUUCCUCUUGUCGUUUCCUUAAUUUUUUUGUUCUUGGAGUAUUGAAGUAAAUCCUUCUAAAAUUCAACUGAAAUAUAAUCCACUUUCUAUUAAAAUUAUUAUUUUAGACGUAUAAAUUUAAUAAAACUGUUUUUUCUUAAUGAAAUAUUAAUUUAUAAAAUAUUAAAUUAGUUGUUCCUAAAUUGAAUUUUCCAAGACAUUGAAAUGAAAAUUUUUAUUUAAAAGAAAUAUAAAGAGCACAACUUGUGAAUUUUAACUGUUUUUUAAUUUAGCAUGGUAAUGGAUAACUCACGAUUUUCUAAGAUUUCCCUUCAUAUCUUAGUUGAAAUAGGUUAAUUAUCAUUUAAGGUAACUUGUAUCCUAUUAAAACAAAUAACUCAUUAAUUAAUGUAAAGAGAGUUAAAGGAGUGAUUUUUUUAGUUUGAAUAAAAUGUUCUUCUAGAAGAUUUUGAAUAACAUUUUUUAAUAGGAAACAAUUUUUAAAAUAUCAAGGUAUUUCAAUAAAUAAAUAAAAAUUUAUUAGAAAAUCAUCUAAAAAGACUGUGUAAAUUUCGUUAUUUUAAUAAUAUUUAACUGUGAAUUGUUUAACAGGCAUUUUAUUAAAUAUUUAAAAAAAUAAUAUUUCAUUAUUCCUUCUCUUAAAAUCUAAACACUACUGUAAAUGUUACAGUAGUAUAGAGAUUAACAUGGAGAGUAGGCUAACGUUCCUUAUGUAUUUUAUGGAAAUAGAGGAAACUUAGGAAAGGACAAAGGAAAAUAAGGUUUUCUAUCAUUGCUAAUUGCAAGGAAGGAAGGGGCCACCUCAUCUUGCUCCCCACAAGAGAGAACCUUUGUCGUUACCUUAGAUAAUUAUCCUUUGAAAGUUGAAACUUCCUCGCGAAGUAGAAGAUGAAGUUAUCAAAUGUGGACGACCUUAGCUAAAACCUUAACGACGUUUUUAAUCAUCCAUCCUUCUCAACUCAACUCAAGCGCUUUUGCUUUGAGUGCUUAAGUGGCCAAUCUCCGAUUCCUACGAGGGAAGGAAUAGGAUGGCUAGUUUACUCAUUUUAUGUCUUUAAUUUAAAUAACACAAAGAAAUUUUAUUUACGAGAUUUUUUAUUAAGCAAGCGAAAUUUAUUAAAAGAAAUUAUUUGUAAUUAAUGUUACUUAGAUUUAUUUAGUUUUUUAUAAAUAAGGAAAAUAAAAAUAUUAGUUUACUCUCUCAAGUGUCUGUGCUUAUAUUCCUGUUUAAACAUAACUAGCAAAAAAAAUAUAGAAUAUAGUUACAAAUUUAAAUAACAUAUGUCAAUCAAUCCAAAAUCCUUUCGUAAUUUAAUUAUCAAAUUGAAGCAUUAUCAAAUUGAAGCAUUACACAAAGUAUUCAGCCCAUGUCCGUUUUGACAACCCACAAAUCUGACUAAUUAUCGUUUACUUUUGGAGGCAAAAGGAUUGGCUCAGAAAAAUUUGCUUGUAGUUGUAUCGGAUCUCACAAUUACAUGGUCUUAGAUUUUAGAAACCACAAGGUAAAGUGUAAAAUUGGAAUAAAUUAUAGUUUGAGUUAAUAAUUUUAAGUUAGACGUAACUUUAAUUAUUUUGAGGGUGUAAUAAAGAUUUCAUCAAACUUAGUGUGGUUAUAAUUAAAAUACACUUUUGUAUCUUGAAAAAGAACAAUUGCUAAUUUAGGAAAUCUUCCCUUUUAAAUCAGAAAUUUCUAUAAAUUGAAAUUAAUUAUCAAGCAUAGAUAGAGGAAGAGUGCUUAAUUCCAAAUUCAAGCGUAGAUACAGGAACAGUUGCUAUCUUUUUCCAAUUGUUUAUUAAAAUAUCAAAUUUGAAUUGCUUUACUUUAUUACUUAAUUUAGUUCAUUUUAUUUAUUUAUUUUAAGAAUUUUAUCCAUCCAUUUAAAUAACAUAUAGUUGCUUAAAGUUCGGUACUCAAAACGACCCUCGAGGGAACAAUAAUAUUUUAUUGAUUCCUGACAUAAUACAAUUGCGGAUUUUACACAAUAAUUUUUCUUUAACAUGAUCACUAUUAACUAUCAGCAACUACUAGCUAACUUUUAACAUUUUAGUUAUUUAUGGAUAGCAGGGAGAUUUAUUAGGGAUUUAAGAUAUCUAGAGAAUAUAUUUUAGUUAUUAUCAGUAAGUGAUAGGAUUCUACUGUAAAGGUCUUACAGUUUGCUGAAAUCGCUCCCGUUGAAGUACAAAUAGACCUUUUUACCAGAAGCUGUGACCAUAGGCAUUGCAGAAAACCCAACAUAGUCCCUUUCUAACUUAGUUCUGCAUAUUUCAGCAACAUACUUGAAGAGCUGGUGUUCUUGAUUGUAUGGUUGAUCCACAUAGUCCUUAAUUGGCAUCCACUGAGGAAGAGAAUAUAAGAAAAUUAUCUUCUAACAAGAUUAAAAGUUACAACUUCUCCAUUGGUAUUGCAAAUAAAGUAAAUUAAGAUUCCAAACUUUCUUGGUUUGGAUUGAGGCUUUAAUCUUAAAUUAAAAGGCAUAUUAUUUCAAAGUUACAAGCAAGCAAAUAGGAUUUGGUUUCAAAGGGCAUCUUUAUAUAAUAUUUUUCAUGGGUGAAGGUAGGAGUGUCAAUAAGCCAAGCCAACUCACGAGCAGUUUGAGCAUUAAGCCUCGAGCCGAGCUUGAACUGAAAUUUUUUUGAGUUAAACUCGAGCCUCAAGUCGAGUUCGAGUUUAAAAUUUUCAGGCUCGUUGAGUUUCGAGCCAAACUUAAGCUGAACUAAAUUCUAUCGAGCCGAGCUUCGGGUUUGACAGGUUCAAGCUCGCUCGGCUCAUUUACACUCAUAGGUGAAGGAACUAAUGAAAUAAUAUAUGAUUAGUAGAUUAUUUAUUAAGAAAUGGUACCUGGGCUGCUGCAACCUCUGACUCUUGCUUCUGGAUCGCAAAGGAUAUUGGUCGUAACAAGCAAACGAAAAAUAAAUCUGAUUUGCUAAAGAAUGAUUGGUGACUUUGCCUGUGAUCAAUAAGCAAUAAAAAUGAGAUCAAAGACAGAUCAAAACUUAAGAAGCACCAUAACAAGCUGCAAUGGAUUCUUGAAUUAAUAGACUUUCUUAUGAUGAAAUUGCAACAAGACUUCUAAAAUUUCUUUUAUUGCAUGAAAAUUCACGAGGAAGAAGUUCAUAGAGCAUAAAUAGCAAACCUGAAUGCUAAAAUUUCCACAAAUUCAGCAUCAAUCUGGUAAGAAAACAAAAGAUUGAAGAUUUUAGGUUUAUAAUUGCCACAAUAGUUUAAUGCAAAACACUAAAAAUAUUAUCGAAGUUAAAAUGGAUCAACUCUAGGGCAUAACACUCAUAUUUGUCUUGUUUUAAGUCUACAAGAAAUUAUAUUUCUUACUCCAGUUUCUUCUUUAACCUCCCGAACUGCAGCUUUACAGAUAUCCUCUCCCUGAAGAAGGAAAAUUUCUGUUUAUUGAUGUAAAAUAUCAUAUAAAAAGAUAAAAAAACAGAGUCAAACUGCACUCGUAUUCUCACCUCAUUGACAACCCCAGUUGGUAGCUUCCAUAAACCUGUAUCUUUAAAUGCACCACCCUUCUCCUGAACUACAAGCACCUAUAAAAUGAAACAAUUUGGCUUCAAAGUUAGAAGUUGUAGCUAAUGGGCUGUAAUAGCAAACACAUAAUAUAGAGAUUUAAAUAAAAUAAAAAAAAAAACCAAUCCUAGUUCCGAAAAUAGGAGAUAUUUCAUUGCACCAAAAGCCAUCUUCAACCAGCACUCAAAGCCAAAAGUUAAGUGACAAGAACCAGUAAAUACCUCUCUGUUAUCAUUUACUACAAAAGCUCCAAUACCCACUCGAUGUGUAGCAUUUACUGGAAGAGUAUCGGCGGUAUUAGGUAGCCAUCGCACCAACAUCAAGUAAUCUGGUUCAGCAUGAUGAUACCUAAAUCCUUCCUGCAGAGUAAACAGAACAUGAUUGUAGGAAGAUAGAUACGCCAAUAAAAUAUUUUCUAUUACUUUUUUUUUUUACGUUCCCCUCCCAGCCUUUGAUGGUCAUUUUUAACUUUCCCUCAAUUUCUAUUUGUGUAACAGUAAAGGGGGCUAGCUAUCAUACGGCAAAAACUACAUCGGAAUGUUAACAUGAACCAUGAAAGAGUAAUAAAAAAUCAAUUUUUAUAGCCACAUCAUCAUUUGACUCAGGUAAAUUAUUUUCUCUCUCCUCUUUAUCUCUAAUUUUCUACCCAUUUGAGAAACCUCAAUCACACAUCCCUCCCUGCCACCACCAUUAAUCCAAUACUCCAUUGCCAAUAGAUAAACCCAUCAGACUUCUCCUCCUUUCAAUCUUCUAAUCAGUACACAUCUAAUCUAAAUAAUUUCAUCAAAUAUGUUAACUACAAAUUAAAAAGAAAAAUUAGGAGUCACAAAUAAUUAGAAUGUCCCACUGUAGAUUGAGAAGAACUCAAAAUCUAUUUCCAAAUUUACAUUCCUGGAUGCAAUGACUUGCAACUUCUUUAUUUCUUUCUGACUGUGACAAUGCCUCAAGCCCUUUAUAACUUCGCCUCAAAAACUAACACCCACCAAUUAUUACCAAAUAACCCCACACCCAAAAUAGGAAUAAGCAAAACUAAAAGUUUCAUUAUUUUGCGAGGUGAAUCCUUUGAAUUAUUUUCCUUUGAAAUAUUUUCCACAAUUUAUUUUCCGUUGUUUGGUUGCUCAGCAAAAUAAAUCAACGGAAAAUAUUUUUAUUUGGUUGUUCAGUAAAUAAAUCAAUGGAAAAUAUUUUUAUUGGUCAAAAGGAAAAUUAAAUCAUUUUUAAGAAAAAUAACUUUGUAGAAUAUGUUCCAACAUUGACAAAUUAUUAAUUAUCAGUAACAACUACUACCAGUCACCAUUUACCGCUAGCCACCAACGUCACCACCGACAACUUUCAUAAUUUACCUUUUCUUUUGCAUUCUUCUUAUAUAUAAAAUAAAAUUUGUAAAAAUACAAUAUUUAUAUUAUUAUUAAUAUUUUUAUAGUCUUAUAGGUUAAAAAUUUUAACAUUUUUAACUAAUUUUCAAAUCCCAACAAAACAAACAUUUUUCUUGAAAAAUAUCUAAGAAAAUAUUUUCGAAACGUAAGUUAUUUCCGGAAACAUAAGGAGCCUAAAUCAAGGAAAAACACGCAUUUAGCAGUACCUCUAAUCACUCUUCUCAAUCACUCCCGGAGACUUCUGAUUCAAAGGAUUCAAAAAUUUAAAUAAUGAAAACAAUAAGUCCAAAAUUAAUUGCAUAAAAUCUGAUUGGAAAUCUAUAAUUAGUGCGACUCCUAUUUCGGGGUUGAGAUUUCACCGAGGUUGAGCAAUGAUGUGGAGGUGGUUUCAAGUCCUAGGCGAUCUUCGAAGCUUUCUUUGCUUGGAAACACUAAUUUUAUAAUUAUCAAGAAGAGUGCCCGUGAAGAGUCGAAGCAACAUUUGGAAAUUCUUUGAGGAAAUCUUUGAGGUUUUCUUUGAAUGAUGAUUUGCCUUUCUUAUUUUGAUGUUUGAGAAUUCUUUUGCAGUGUUUUGUAGGGUUGAGUCAAUAUGAUGGAGAAAGAAUGCAGAUAGGAAGGAACUUUGAUUUUGGAGUCGUAUGUACAAACAGUUUGCAGAGAUAAAGAGAGAGAGACGGAAGAGUGGCGGGUUGGAUAGGACUGUGGUAUGGGUUAGGAAACAUAGAGAUGGAGAGCCGAGGCAACAAGGAAAAAGCGAGAGAGAGAGAGAUUGAAAGAAUGUAUAGGAGAGAGAAUUCUGCUACGCUUUAUUUUUAUUUUUUUCACGCACCCUAGUCGCCACGUCACUUGCAUUUCACCGGGAUAAGGUGCGGGUAGUUUUGUGUUAUAAAAAUGUAAGUUUAGACGCUUUAAGUGACAGAUUUAAGAUGAAAUACCAUAAACUGAUACCCUCGUAAAUUGAGAGAUACUGAGUGAAAGAUAGUCGUGCAUAAUAUCAACAAAAUUCUAUUCAGUCGAAGUGUAAUAUAUAUGUCAUUAAAAUUUUGGAUUUCACACCUAAGUCUAAUCAUUCAUUAAAUCAAUUCAAGACUUUUAAAUUCUAAAUCCAGUCACUCAUUAAAUCAAUUCAAGACUUUUAAAUUCUAAAUCGAGUCACUCAAAAAGUUCUGAGUUUCACAUAUAAGUCUAGUCAUUCAUUAAAUCAUUGGUUCAAAACCUUUUAGAUUAUUUAUUUAAAGAGUUCGGACUUUAUAUGUAAGUCUGGCUAAACUAGUAGUUCAGGACCUUUUAGAUUUUAAUCCGAGACCUUAUGUCUAUAAAGUUUUGUGUUCCAUGCUAGGAUUCAAACUUUUCCUUUUUUUCUUUUUUUUUUUUUUUUGUCAAUUUGAAAUUAACAUUAGAUUGAAACUGCCGUUCAAAACCUUUAAGGUUGAUUAUAAGUUGAACUAAUAUCUUCUGUUUUUGUCUAGUUUAAAAUCGUAAUUUUCGAACAUAUUCAGAUUCAAAUGUUUCUGAAAUUGAUUAUCAUCCAAAUUAGAACCGUGAAAGGGUCUUUCUAAACUUGAAAUAUUAAAUUUUAAGAGGGAACUUAUACGUUUGACCUUCCAAGAUAUGCUAAUAUAAUGUACAUACCUGAACUACUGGAUAGACGAGAUUAGCAAGUUGGAUUGACAGUUUUAUCCAAACACCUCUCUUCCCCUAAUAAAAACACAACAAAAUAAUAAUGAUUUAAUGAGUACAUGACAAACUAUUACUCUAUCUAUCCAUAAAUAUAAAUCGUUUAGGAAUUUUUUUUUUACUAAAAUAAGAAAGGAAUUAAUUCCUUACAUUAUAACAAAAAAGUUCAUUAAUUUAAUUAAAUUACUCUUUACCUUCCAUCAUUAAUAAGUUAAUAUGUUUAAUACAUAUAAGGGUAAAAUUAGAAAAAAAUUCAUUCAUACUUCUUAAUGUUCUCAACUUAUAUUUGUGGGGGCAAAAAAAAAAAAAGUCUAAAAUGACUUAUAUUUAUGGACGAAUCACAAACAGUGUCGAUAAUAAUUACCUGUUGCUUCCAUUGUGAAAGGGAGGCUCUAAGUAAAGGAACAAAAAUGUCGGCGUCCAUAUGCUGCUUCAUUUCUACAACAACUCCAUCAUAUAAAUCAUCAACUGCAUCAAGCAAUCCAACCUGCUCAAUUUCACUGUCAGGAACCAUCUGAUCCUUCAAAGGCAUUCUACUUGUGAUGGCUAGCACGUUAAUAUAAUAAUGCAACCUGGAGGAACGAGCGAAAAAAAGAAGAUUCCUUUAUUUUUUUUCUUUAAAGCAUUUUCUGUAAGUAGAAAGCAUCUUAUCCUUAUCUAAAAGGAAAUUUCCGAGAACUUUGUCCCGAACUCCAAAUUUGGAAAAGAGAAUCUAAUACAUUGUAGGAUAGGCUUGAUUUUUCCUUGAGACAUUUUAUCAAAUACAUAAAGGGCAAGACUCAAGCUAUACAUAUAUACUUACCUUCCUUUUUAAAUAUCAGAAAAAAGAAAAUGGUGCAGCUCCAGGAAUAGGAUUGUUGGAUCGUGGUGAACUUGCAUAAGAAUAUGAAAGAGUUUGUUGGGUCUCAAUAUGUGAUUCUUUAUUUAAUAGAGAGAUAAUCUCUCUGCAUAUACAUCUGAAUUGUCCUUCGGAUUAAUAAAGAAGAGUUUGGUUUUGACAGUUUCAGUUGAUAUAAUCAGCAUAUGUCUGUAAAAUCAACCUAAAUAAAAACAAAAUGAAAAAUCUGUCAACUUUGGAAGUACAAAAUUGAAUUGAUCAAUUCAAUUCUUUGCAAUACGGCGAUGAAAUCAAUGACUCAAACACUGCUUUUUAGACUAAACAAUUGAUGAAAACUGCUAAGAGGGUGAAGAUUAAUUUGUUCAAAUGGUUGGUAAACAAACAUGUUUCUCUUGAUUAAUUUAGCACAUAGAACGUGUGGUUGGCGGGAAAGAAUUACCUCUAGAACGAGAUUAGUUCAUAUAUUUAUCUCAAACCAAUGGAUAGGAUAUAUUUUCUCCAUUCAAAAAAGUUAUCAUCUCCUCUUUGCUCACGCAGUUGAAUUGUUGAAGAAAAUAUAAUAAAUAUGACGGCAACUUAUAUUUAUACAUUACUCCCAAAUUAAUUAAUUAACCAAAAGUAGAAUAAACAUUUUUUUAUUGAAAAAUUAUUUUUAUUUAAAUAUUAAAAUAUCAAUUAAGAAAAUCAAUCGAUAUAUUUCUCUCAAGUCAGUCCUUUUACCUCCGAGGGCGAGUAGAAAUUAGUCAAGUUUGUGAGCCGUUAAAACUGAUAUGUGUCUAGAUACCUCGUGCAAGUAUAAAAAAAAAAAAUCAAUAUAUGUAUAGAUUAAUUAGUUCUAGAGGUUUGACCUUAUUCAUAAAUUUAAGACUUUUAUUUUAAAAAUUGAUUUAACGCAUCUUAUCAUUUAAUUUUUUGAACUAUUUCUAGACUUAAUCUAAUACACUCAGUUUGAUAUAAUUGAAUUUAAAAUGUAAAAUUCAUUUAUAUAUAAGUUUUUCAUGUUGGCAAUAAAUUUAAAAUUGAAAAUUCAUUUACUUUUAUUUUCUAAAAUACCUUUAAAAGGCUAAAAAGAUAAAUAGUUGUCCUAAAAAUUUGAAUUAUUUAUCCAUUUAUUCCAAACAUGGGUAAAUGUUGAAUUCGGUGAAAAAAAAAAAUCGAUUAUAACCUAUUUAAUGUUAUUUAUCUUCGAAAUCUUAAGCCUUUUAUCUUAUCCUUUUUUUUUUUGACUAAAUAGAAAGUUGAACAAAAGACUAAAUGGUUGACAAAAACAAAUUGUAAAGACCUAUUAAUUUGAAUUUAAAGUUAGGUGUUCUAAUUAAUUGUAAAUUAUGUUAAAUUUCAAAGAUUAAUAGCAGUUAACACUAAUUAAGUUUGAUUUGAAGAAUUCAAAUAAGAUAUUUUCAGUUUGAUGUUAAUCUUUUCUUUAAUUCAAAAAAAUAACAUGAAAUCUACAGAUGUAUCAAAAUUUAUCCUCCACUGAUUAAAAUCUCUAUAUCCACAUUCCCUUCUCUUGAAUCUAGGUUUGACAUUUUCCUGAUUCAAAAAUGUUAUAUUGCAAAACAAAAUUUUGCAUGUGAGAUUGAAUGUUCUAGUUUUGUCAAUUGAAAAAUAAAAAUCUUUUGUUUAAUUAUGAGAAAUUCAAGUAAGAUAUGGGUUUUUGUAAAAUAUUUAUAUAUCAUUUUAUAUUGUGAAAAAUCCCUUCAAUAUAUGAAUUUAAUUUUCAUAAAAAACGAGAAAGAUUGUGUAAAUACCUGAAAUCAAAGGUAAAAUAUAAAGAAUUGCAAAAGUUCUUGAAAAAUGAAAUUCACAUUAAAAAAAAUAAAAUGAUGCUAUAUGAAGACUAACACAAUCCAAAAUGAUAUAUACAAACUAGAUUUCGACAUUUGUUAGACAUGUGUCUUUACUUUGUUCAUCAACAUCAAUAAAAUUCGCUGUGACUACGGCAGCACGUGGGUCGGAUUGAUUGAUUUAAAGUACCUGACCUAUAUAUGCAGAUCAAUGAUUUUUUUUUGACCCAACUCAAUUCAUUAAAUACGUGAACCCGCAUAUUAUAAACGAAUUGGAUUGGGUUGAGUACGGAUUCAGUAUAAACCCGUGGAUCAAAUAAAUGAUAAUAAUAAAAUUAUUUUUUAAUAAAAUACAACUCUUUAAAAGGAUUAAUAAAAAAAAUUAAAUAUACUUAAAAUCUUAAGUAUACAAUAAUUCUCACAAACUAUAAAUAUAUUUUAAUGACAAUAUUAAAAUUAAAUUUCUUAACAUGUUCAUUAUUAUUAUCAUCAUAAUCAUAAUCAUAAUCAACAAGAAAAAUUAAAUUUCUUAAUAAAAAAAACAAUUAGUAAAUUAAAAAUACUCGUUAAAAUAAUUAUAUAAUAUGUUUAAUUUAAACUACAAUAUACUCCAAGAACAAACGUGAUCUCUACUAAAUAUGUAAAUAAUUUAGUAUUUAUAUUCAAAAUUGCAAAUCAAAUCAAAUCAACUAAAUAAUUCAUAAUUUAUUUAUGGAUUGGAUCGGGUCUGCGGGUUCAUCUAAUGAACAUGUGAUCCAUCCUAACUCAACCCAUGAAUUGUAAAGAUAACCCGCCCAACCCAAUCCAUUGUAUCUUCAAUUCCGCCGGGUUGAGUUGGGCGGCUCGGAUUGGAUCGGUAUAAGGGGUCAUGUGCAGCCUUAACUGAGACCGACAAGAAGUUUCAACUUAUUAAUUAUAGGUAAUUUUUUUCACGUCAUUAUUGACUAUUUUGGCGAAUACAUGAUACUAUUAUUUCGGAAAAAUCAGAAAAGAGCUUAAACCAUCACCAAAAAUUAAAAAUUAAAAAUAUUAAUAUUCAAAAUAUAAAUUACUCUUGCUGUUUACUUACAAUUACAAACUUGAGUUUUUGAUUGGCUUACAUCAAUUUGAUUUUGUACUUUUGGCGAUUAUUUUUAUGGUUUUCAAACUUUAUGGGAAUCUAUCAUAACCCUACACUUUCACAUUUCAGUAAUAACCACGUCUCUUACCAAAAUGAAACAUGAAAGUGCAUAGUCAUAAUUGAACAUCCAUAAAGUUAUUUUAUUUUGCUGAGAGAUGUAGUUAUUACUGAGAUGUGAAAGUAUAAGAUUAUAAUUAAAUUUUCGUAAAAUGCAAGGUCACAUGGAGAAUCAGCCAAAUUUUAGGAUUAUUAACUUCUUGCGAGAAGUGCUACAAUUAUCAAAUAACAUUCUGCUAGGAUGGCCAAAAUUCGAUGUUCGAAACUAGAACUGCCACUUGGAACUAGUUGCAACUAGAAUCGAAACCGUGCGAAAACGGAAUCGAGAGUUCGGUUUGGUUCUGAUUCUAAAUUUUUUAUUUUAAAAUUAUAUGAACAGCCUGGAACCAGGGAUUCCACAUUUUUUUAUUUAUGUUAUGAUUCCACAUUUUUUGAAACCGGAACUAUGGCGAACCUACAUUCCACAACCUAAAACAUCCUGAACAGGGUUUCUUCUUAAGAAAAAAAAUGACAGGGUUCAGAUAUUUUCGAGAAAAAAUAACAUAUGCACAAAAAGAAAAAAAAAGCAAAUAAUUCAUUAAUGUCGGAACAUAACUGAAAUGUUUAAUGAUGAUACUGCAAAAUGCAUGUUUAGUUAAAAUAUAGUAUUAAUAGCAGAAAAGAACUCACAAAAUAUAAGUAAGAGAAGUAUUUUGCAUGCAUACCUUUCAGCCUUUAGUCUUUUGAACCUCCAAACGAAAGAAAGACAGCCUUUUAACUCGAUGAAUAUACGAAGUGGAUCUGCCCUGUACGCACAUAUAUGUAUUCAUAUAUAUACACACAUACGAUCUUUCCUCGCAUCAUCGCAUGUGUAUUGCAGAACAUGCGAGGACCCGGACAAUACACGUUUCUACUAUUCAAGUACUCCACUUUUCUUCGUUAUUUCACAUUGAUUCAACUAAAACAAUAUUAGUCGUACUUGAACGCUUUACAAAAAGUAGGCAAUUUACAAAAUAUUAGCAAUAAAUAGGGGUGGCCACGGUUCCGGAACCGCCAGUUUUGGUUCCGGAACCAACAGUUCUGAUUUCAAAAAAUUUAGAACCGGAACCGAACCGAAAAAUUAAUAGUUCCGAUUAUGGUUUGGAACCGAACGAUUCCGGUUCUGGUUUCGAUUCCUCAACAGUUCUAAAAUCGACAGUUCAUAUCGGUUUAGGACGGUUCCGACCGGUUUCAGAUCGGUUUAGGACGGUUCCGACCGGUUUCAGAUGAAACUAGAACCGUCGGUUCCGACUGGAGCUGGAACCGCCAGUUCACGAUUCCAAAACUAGUGGAACCGUAACCGAGCCGGUUUGGACCGGUUCCCUCCGAUUCCGAUUCCCACCGGUUCGGAACCGACAGUUCUGGUUCCGAAAUCCGGAUUUUGGCCACCCCUAGCAAUAAACGAAUUUUACAAAAUGUUUGGAAUAAACGAUUACACCGGGUUAUUUGGAAUAAACGAAUUUUACAAAAUGUUAUUGAAAUAAAAAUGUAAAUAAAAAUUAAAAGUUUAAGUUUUACAAAAUUCAAUUAUAUUUUUAAAUAUAACUAAAUCAAAUUCUAAUAAAAUAUAUAAAUUUUUUAAAAAAUUUUCAUAAAAUUAAACAAGUAAAUAUUUAAUGAAUUGUCCAUUCUCUUAGACUAUUAAAAUUAUUAUAUUAAAAAUGCAUUAGAAAAUAAAAGUAAAUAAAUUUUCAAUUUAAUCACAGGGUAAGGUGUUUGAUGCAUGUAAAAUGAAAAUUUCCUCAAAUGUUAAGUGGCUGAAACAUUUAUUUUUUAAUUGAAACAUUUAUUUACUAAUCAAAAAACUAUUUCUGUAAAUUAUUGUGUUCGGUAACUUGAUAUACAGAGUAACUUGAUAUACAUAAUAGCUUUUAGAGGUUCAUGAAGUAUUUUCUAAAACAGUAUCCCAUAAACGUUUAGCGUUUCACUUUUUUAACUAAAUUUUUUUUACAACCUUAUCCUUAUCCUUAAUUAAUAUAAAAUCCUUAUGUUAUCACAUUACAUGUUUUAUUAUCUUUAUAUUUGACUUAUUUAUAUUUGACAAUAAAAAAAAACCGUUAUUUUUAUGCUUGUAUUUAAACUCAAACAAAUAUUAAAAAUUAAAAAUGUUGAUCACCUCAAAUAUUAAAAAUUUUCCAUUUUAUUUAUAAAAUAUUGAGCUUUUCAAUUUUUGCUCCCUUAAAUUUUGAAAAUUUAGGUAUAGUGAAAUUAUUUUUUUAUAAUGAAUUUAAUUGAAAAUUCUAGAUGAAUAUUUCAAUGGCCUUUCUUGUCAUUAUAAAUUUAUUACCAAUCAAAUAGCUGUUUUUAUUGAACAUUUUCACUUUUAACCACUAUUCAAACAGCUAACAUCUAAUAAUUAAUGGCUACUAAAAUAAUUAACAACUAUUAAAAUAGCUAAUAACAGCUACUAGAAUAGCUAAUAUUGCUGAACAGGCCCAAAAACUGUGUAUUAUUAAAAGUAGAAAUUAGAAAUAAAAAUUUGAGAGCACAAGGUAAAGUAAAAAUAAAAUAGAUCGAAUACAAUAAAUUUAAUAGUUUUAAGAAAAUUGAAAAAUAUUUAUAUUAUUAAAAAUAUACGUAAUUUUAAAUAUCAUAUUUUAUUUAACAAUCAUUUAUUUUUCUUAAUAAACUAAAGCGUUUAUAUACCUAAUAAUUUCCUAAAAUAUUACCUUAAANNNNNNNNNNNNNNNNNNNNNNNNNNNNNNNNNNNNNNNNNNNNNNNNNNNNNNNNNNNNNNNNNNNNNNNNNNNNNNNNNNNNNNNNNNNNNNNNNNNNNNNNNNNNNNNNNNNNNNNNNNNNNNNNNNNNNNNNNNNNNNNNNNNNNNNNNNNNNNNNNNNNNNNNNNNNNNNNNNNNNNNNNNNNNNNNNNNNNNNNNNNNNNNNNNNNNNNNNNNNNNNNNNNNNNNNNNNNNNNNNNNNNNNNNNNAGGUGCAAGACCCAUCAACAGUUGAAUUGUCAAUAAAGAUUAAAUUAUUAACCUUUUUUUGGGAGUUUUUCUGUGGCGUAAAUGACAGAACAGAGAGUGACAUAAAUUUUUUAAAUUUAUUUACUAUUGUACUUAUAAUAAAUUGAGCUUACUUUUUAUUAUAUCUCAUUUACAUAGUUUGUAUUUAAUUAAUUUUAAAUUUCUAAUUCAGCAAUUCUACAUGACAUUGACAUCCAACCAAUAAAAAAUAACAUUUCUAAUUUUUAUAUAUUAAAUAUGAAAGCUUUUGUUCUCGGUACCGGGAGAUAUAUAUUAUAAAUUUUCUUACUUUGUAAUUUAUUUAUUUUUAUCUAAAUGGUAUUUGGCACUUAUUGUAAUUAUGUAAUUAAUUAAUUUUUAUCUUUAGCAAUUUAUACUAUUAUAAACUUUGAUAGUCGCAGCGGUAGAAAUAGCAAUAGCAGUAGAAAAAAUAAUUGUAGGUAGUAGAAGUAGAGUAGUAAUAGUAACAGUAGAUGUCUUAUUCUUUGCAUUAAUAAGAAAACCAAUUAUAACAGACCUCGUUAAUUUUUAAAUUUCAAUAUUAAUGCAUAAUUUGUCCUUAUUUCUUAACUAUUUUUUUGGCCAAAACUAAAAUUUUUACUAAGAUCUUAAGAAUGUUAAUUCAACUAAGCAAGCCCAGUAGCCGAAUUUUAUUACGCGUAUAUUUUAGAAACAGAAAGAAAUUCCCUCAUGCCUUCCUAAAAAAAAAAAAAAAAAAAAGAAAAGAAAAAGGGAAAAAACAAAAAAGGUAAUGGCCUCAUGCCUAUAAAAUAGCAUGACAAACCGUAACACCAGCACCCAACCAUCCAGUCCACAGCAGAAUAAAGUCGCUAACUAAUCCUUCUCCACCACCACCACCGCCGUUAACCCACAAAACUUGAAGCUUUUAAUUAGUUUGGUGUAAACGCUUAGAAAAAGAUGGUGAUCAAGGCUACAACCUUUACAACCAUUACAACCAUUACAACCAUUACAAGCAUGCCGGUUAGUAUAUAUUUACACAAACAUCGAUCAUUCGGAAACUUUGUUUUAAUUAUAUUUAUAUACUGUGCAAUAUAAAAAUCGCUUAAUUUUCUGUCAACCGGUGCAGAAAAAGAUGGUGAUCAAGGUUUCCAUGAAUUGCGAUGAGUCUCGCAAAAAGGCUCUGCAAAUCGCGGUUGGCGUUCAUGGUAAGUUACAAAUUACACAGCGUGCUGCUUUUUUGUGUUUCUGGAAACUUGUUAGAGAUAUGAAUUGGUUUGAAUGGUUCUUGUUCUUGAUAUAUCCUCACAGAAAUUUUAUCUAAACGCUUAGAAUUGAUUGGUUCUUGUUCUUGGUUUCAAUUACUUCUAUAUGUUUAAAAACUUUUGCUGAUUAUUGCAUCGAGCAGGGGUGCAAUCGGUGGCUUUAGGAGAAAAGGAUAAAAACCAGCUAGAAGUGAUCGGAAGUGGAGUAGACCCAGCGAAACUUAUAAGUUCGCUAAGGAAGAAGUCAGCAAAAUGCCCCAACUUUCUCACCUGUGUAUUACCAAACUGUAAGAUGGUGCACGCAGAGCUAGUAAGCGUGAUGUAGGAGAGCCAAAAAAAGAUGUUAAAAUAAAUUAUUAUUAUUAUUUCUAUAAAAUUAAUUAGAGGUAUGUUCAAAUAAAUAAAUAAAUGUAUAUAUACAUGUAUGCGUGUGCAUAGUAAAUAAGCAUUAUAAUUAAAAAGAAAUUGUUAUUAUUAUUAUAACUUUUUCUAGAGGAAUGUUAGAUUAUAAUUAUUGAUGAAUAUAAUAUUAGGUUAAUGUGAAAGCAUUACAAAAUUCAUCGUCUCGUUAAAGUGAAAGCAUUACAAAAUUCAUUUUCCUUUCUUUGAUUAAGACAUCCACUUGCAUGCUCUUUGAACUUAUGAUUGUUUUUAAAAUGCUCAUUAUAAUUAGAAUUUGCGAAUAAAAGCGGUUAAUUUGGACAAUUCUACUUAGUGAAUAUGUAUUAAAAAUUUAGCAACAAAAUUUUGUUGAACAUAAAUGUAAAUUAAGUUAUUUCCUUAUUUAAUAGAUCAUGCAACAACUAUCAAUCUAUAAUAUAUAUAUAAAAGUACGAAUGAAGGGAGAACUUUAACAUAAUCACGUGAUUAACAUAAUCACGUGUUGCUCAAGCGGGAAGGUUUUUAGGUGCAAGACCCAUCAACAGUUGAAUUGUCAAUAAAGAUUAAAUUUGGCGCACGGCAAUUCUUGUUGUUUUCUGAAGAUAGGUCACGUGAUUAACAUAAUCACGUGUUGCUCAAGCGGGAAGGUUUUUAGGUGCAAGACCCCUCGAUAGUUGAAUUGUCAAUAAAGAUUAAAUUAUUAACCUUUUUUUGGGAGUUUUUCUCUGGCGUAAAUGACAGAACAGAGAGUUGGGGUCGAAGAGUGAUAUAAAUUUUUUAAAUUUAUUUACUUUUUAUUGAGAAUCUUGCCUGUGAGCAAAUUAAUCAAAUUUAAUUAUAUAUUUAAUAUUAUACUUAUAAUGAGUUGAGCUUAUUUUUUAUUAUAUGCAUUUACAUAGUUUGUAUUUAAUCAAUGUCAACCCACACGCUUCAACACCUUUUUUUUUUAACUUAUAUACUUAUAUUAGUUUUAAUUAAUUUUAAAUAUAAAAUAUUUUUAUGUAAUAUAAAUAUGAAAAUUACAAACUUUAUGAAAGAUGAAAUUAUAAUUCUUGGAUAAAUAAAUUUAUGUUGGAUAAAUAAAUUUGUACAAUUUAUAAAAUCCAUACAUUUUUUUAUAUAAUGAAAAUUAUUUACCUAUUCCUCAUGUAUAGAACAAUUCAUAUACCAAAUCAAUGAAUGAUUUUCAUUUUAAAGAUUUUUUAGUAUUAGAACUUUUUUUAUCUUUUUCUUCCCAAAUGCAAUCAAAAUAUUGGUAAAAAAAAAGCAAGCAAAAGAAGUUAAGAAAGACUUCAUGCUUGAGCAUAAUUUUAAAGUAAAAAAUAUAUUAUGAAAUAUAAUGAAAAAUUAUUAUUAACAGUAUAGAUAUGGGCAAAUUCACUUUCUAAUUUGUUGGUAUCGAAAUUACACUAAUUAAACCUAUAUUUGCACUAGGAAAAAAAACAACUUUUAGCAUAUGCAUGUUUUAUCAAUUUAAAUACUAGGAAAUUUCUUGUCUGUUGAGGAACACCUUAUAUGAGUUACGAGGUCAUGGAAAUUUGUUGUAUAGUAUAAUACAAAAUGCCCCAUUAAGCACAACACCAAAUCCCUAACUUACCCAAAAGCAAUACUUUCCUUUUGGCACUAUUUUUUUUUAAAUUAAUUUUUUAUCUGUUGAAAGCAUGGGGCGUCAAUUUUGCCCUUGACCUUAUGUGCUAAUAUGUCAACUUUGAGGGGCUUAGAGCACCUAAAAAAGGUACUAAAAGCUAAGGGCUGCCCACUACAUUUAGAGCGUGAUAUUAGGGAUAUACUCUCCACUUUAGAAGAAGCCAAGAAAGCUCAUUGUUGCAGAAAGAAUUGCAGGUUUCAUAAAGGAAGUCAUAAAUAAGACAUGAUCCUAUAAAUUAUAUUUGGAAUUUGAAUCUAUCCAACACCGACUUUUACACUGAAAUUUCUUGGAAUACCCAUGUUAAAUUAAGUUUCUUCAGAUAAUAAAUACCUUGUAUUGAUUGCAUACAAAGUCUUCUUUUUUUUUCUUUCUGAAAUCAUUUUUAAAAUUAGCAAAUCACAAUCACUUAAAAGAUUUUUUUUAUUGAAGGUGAUUUACAGCUGAGAUAUUAGCCAAGAAAUUAGAAAGCUACGAUAAGUCUUGUACAAAACUAGCAUAGGUAGCUAGAUUUCUAUUCUGCCUUCACUUUUGCUUUAAAAUAACCUAUUUUUAUCUGAUGAAGUUUAAUUAACACCUGCAACCAGACAUGUCUCAGUCAAUGAUAAUUAAGUUGUGCAGAACUGACCACAUUUUGAAUUGGAAGAACCCUAAUAGCUAUAAAACUUACAUAGCUUAGUCAAUAACACAGCUUCUGCCCUGAAAAAAGAAAAAAAAACAUUCUUGAGGAAAACAUGUGCAUGAUUGUCAAUGGAGAAGCUGACACUAAAACAAAAAUUUCAAACACACAAUCCCUUUUGAAAGAUUCUAAAAAACCCAUUUGAAAUCUCGUCCAGACAAGUUCAUUUAUGUUACGUGUCAAAGACAACUUACCAAAUAUUCUUUCACUUUGGAUUUUAGAAAGCAAUAAUCUUUUUUUACCUCUUUUUUCAUUAUAUGCAUUGGAAGCGUGGUAACAAGCCCAAACGAACAGGUCUAAACGGCAAAAAUCAUUAUAUUAUAUUUUUAUAAUAUAAUAUAGAGCAUAAUUUCUUGCCGUAGAAAAUUAUUAUUAUUAUUAUUAUUAUUAGUGACUGGAAAUUAUUGAAAUAAAUAAAAUUAACCCAUUUUGUGCAAUCAAGAAUGCAACAACCUAAGAAUGAAGAAUAGAAACAAAAAAGUUUUAUUUAUUUUUUUAAUGCUUAUUAAACAUUUUAGAUUAAUAGGAAAUUAUUAUAUAGUUUCCCUAUUAUAAAGUAAUACAAUUUAUUUUAAAUAUUUUUGUAAAUUACAUAUUUAAUCAAAGACGAGGACUUAACCAUUGUCCUUUACACUGAAACCCUUUUUCUUUUUGGUCACUAAUAUUUGUAUAUAUACAUGCACGACAUACACAACAUGAUCCAGUUGACUAUUGUUGAGGUCAAUGCGUCUCCUUCAUGCUUUCUUCUUCUUCCUUUCCGGCUUUCACCUUUCUACACGUUUUCCUAUUUUCAUACUAAUUAGAUAAGAUUGUAACUUUUUAAUCUCAAUUUCUCGUUUCUUUCAUUGUACCUUAACUUCAAUAAAAAUCUAUCACAAAUUUUUAGUGGCUAUCUAUUUAUCGAAUAUUUCCUUUGUUCAGUUUAAUUUGUCAACUUUUGACUUUCACAGCAACUAAGAAAAUAACUAAAUCAUUUCAUAUUUUUAAAAAUUAAAGAUUUCAAAUUUUUAAUUUUUGGCAUCUUUUGGUUCAAAAUGGUCUAUUUUCUAUAUUUCUCGGAAAGAUAUGUCCACUUACAAGGAAAUUAUUUUCUAAGAAGUAUAAUUUGAAUAUAUUUAGUAUACAAGUCAACUUCAUGGGAAGCAAAUUACUUUCAGAUUACAAAAGACAAUAUUGUUCAUAAUACAAAUUUAUAUGUGUUUAGAUAAUAGGACAAAAUGGUAAAUUAACUAAGGAAUAAGUGCAACAUCCCUAGUCAUCUCUAAAGAAAUUGCUUCCCUUAUGUAAGGAAAGUAGGAUAGAGUACUUCGAAAAAUAGAAUUGAAAAUACAAACUAACAUAAGUAUUUUAUGCACUUUCCUGAAAGUCACAAUUCUCUAAUUUACUUAUCCCCAAUCAAACAUCACCUUUAGUUUGGAGUAACAAUUGAUCUUGUACUAUUUUAUUUAUUUCAAUUUAACUGAUAUGUGUUUUUCUUAUAAUAAAUAUAUUUUUUUCUUAAUUUUUUAUUAUUGUUUUGUCUCCAUAUUAUUUGGAGCUUUUUUAUCUCUUCUUUUGUACAUGGGUUUGAUAUUAAAUAAAGGUAUGAUAUUUGAUUUUAUUGAGUUGAAGAAUUUGGAUAUUAAAUUGAAAUAUAUGGAUCUUCUAUUAAUGGAAUAUAGUAGUGCAUCUUAUUCAUCCAUUGACACACAGUGAAUAGAACUCAUUUGCGUACAUCAUCUAUAGUAAGUACUUCGAAAACCAAUUUUAGGUAUAAAAGCUCUAGAGAAGAUAAAUAUUAUCUAAAUAAAUAAAGGGCUAGUUGUCAUUUGGAAGAUUCGUAGCUUUUAUCAUGAUCAUCUUCAAGUAAAGAGAUUUAAUAUUAUACAUUUCUGUUAGUUUAUUAUUGAAAAGAAUUUAAACAUUGUUUUCUUUUAUUAAAAGAUGAACGAAAUGGCAGCUCUAUAUUAUUAAUGAAUUAUUAAUUAUAUUUCUGAAAAAAAAUUAUCUUUUGUAAGUGGAGAGGAAUUUAUUUUUAAAUCAGAAGGAGGGUCUAAAGCUCAUUAACCAACACAGCAAUGUUGCCAAGCCACACCCGUUCUAUCAGCAUGAAGCAAGUCACGAACACCAGUAGGAGGAGAAUUAAACAACACUACCUCAUGCGGACCAUGAAUAGCAUCCUUUGCUCACAAAUCGGCUACCGAGUUAGCUUCCCUAUAAAAUUAUAAUCAUCUUCACCUCCCAAUCACGAAGAAGNNNNNNNNNNNNNNNNNNNNNNNNNNNNNNNNNNNNNNNNNNNNNNNNNNNNNNNNNNNNNNNNNNNNNNNNNNNNNNNNNNNNNNNNNNNNNNNNNNNNNNNNNNNNNNNNNNNNNNNNNNNNNNNNNNNNNNNNNNNNNNNAAAGCAUACCAAUCAAGAGCUCGAGAAAACCCCAACUGCCAUAGACCAUUCCAUGAACGAAAGGAACCUGCACAAGCAACUAUGCCAGGCUGACCGCAAGCACUCCCAUCAAUAUUAAUUGUAAUCCAUCCAACAGGAGCUGGCACCCAAGAGACAAGACAUGUCUGAAUCGGCUGAGUGCUACCACUAAUUCUUUUGUCAUUGUCCCAAGCUUUCCGCACCUCCUGAACUUUAAGAAAAAUAAAAUCACAAGUGACCUAUAAGUGACCUCAGCAACAGGAGAAGAAGGAUAAAAAAUCCUCUUUUUUCGCUCCUUCCAGAUCCACCAAAUACACAAUGCAAAGGUAACACUCCAAAGGGCCCCCUAUAGAACAAAUCUCCGUAGAACUGAGAUUAUUAAGAAUCCAUUGAGGCACUAUGUUAGAGGCAAAAUCAUCACACAAAUCAUCAACAAGGAACCAGUUCCAAACUCUGCGAGCCCUACUACAAUCACGAAGAGUAUACAGCCCCUGUUUCACUAGCGCCAUUGCAACUAGAACAAGAGUCAACAGAAGUAAACCCCCUUCUACACCAGUGAAGAGGAAUUUAUUACUUCAUGGAAUAGGCCAAUAAGAUAUUUGGCUCUAUCCGGCUGGUUUCAUGUUUCUCACUUGGUGGUCAUUUCUAAUAUUUCAGUUGAAAUCUCAUUCACACUUGACAUUCCAUCAAUAAACUAUUUGGUCAUACUUUGCUAAGUGGACUACGUCUAAAAAUCAAAGAGCAUUAAAUAAUUUGUUAUAUCCAUUCUUAAAUACUUGUCACAUUUGAAAUUUCACAUCUCUUAAAAAAUUCAUUAAAUUUAUCUAAAUUACAGACAAUAAAUUAUUCAGUAAAUUAACUACAUUGUUCUUAAUUUAAUAUAUCCAAACACUGAAUUUUGAGGAAUUGAAGCAAUAAUUCUUGCUCGUAUAUAAAGUGCUAAAUGAAAGGAAAAAUUUAUUACUCUUUGAAAUCAUAAAUGUGAUAAAUAUUUUAGAACAUGACAAGUAUUUAAGAAUAGAGGUAGUACUAAAUAAUAUCGAUAUUACAUAUAAGUGGACUAUGACAUUACAAAUCUCUUUUAUGUAUGUUGAAGUUUUUCAGGUUUUUUACCUAGCUUUUCCCAUGGUGUAAGUAGGGAGCUUUAUAGUUCAGGUAUAAUUUUUUGAAUAAACUAAUUUUUUCUAGAUUAAAAAAUAAUAAAAUAAAUUAAUUUACCAAUAAAAAAAAAAACUACCAAGUGUUAAUAUAAAAUAUGUAAGUCAUGUGUAGAUUGCAGAAGAUCAACAUUAUUAAGAUUAUACUUAUUUAGACCGAAUUCAUGGCCUCAUCAAUGGACCGAACCAAUGAAAAUAAAAUUUUUUUUUUUAAAUUAUUCUUACUUCAUCCUCUUUUUUCUAUUAUAUAUGGUUAAAAAUACUAUCAUUUUAAUAAAAAUUAAUAUUUUUAUUGGUUUGAUUCAUAGAUAGGACCAGAAACCAUGCUUAGACAAGUCAAUCAUUAUUAACGGGAGAAAAGUUCUUAGAAAGAGGCAAAGAAUAGUUUUUAGAAUCCAAGGCUGGAGAUUAAGCAAAGAUUCUCUGCUGCAAAGUUUAAUAGUUCAAGAUAUGCUUGAAAGAAAUUUGAGGGGAAAACUUCUGCAUAAUCCAUAGAUAUAUUCAAAGUUCUUUAACAAAAGUCAUCUAUUCCCUUCGCUAAUCUCCUAUUCCUAUAGAAUGCUCUACUAAAUAAAAGUUAUUUUCUAAUUAGAAAUUGAACAUAUAAUCUGUAAUGUAAAUCUGAUGAUACUAUAAAAAUCAUCAGCAUCGGACAUGAAAUACAUAGCCGGAAAUAUUGACUUAGCCGGAAAUAUUGACUGGACCGGAGUUUGAGUUGAUAGAUGGAACUUGUGUGUUUUUCUAUCUCUAGGACGGCAUUUAGGUUUUUAUUUUGUUUUUUUUUUCUGAUUUAUUCAAAUUAAAGCAUUAAUAACUAAUAUAUUACUACCUCCGUUCUAUAAUAGUUGUCAAAUUUGAGAAAAUAGUUUAUUCUAAAAUACUUGUCAUUUUGUGGUUUGAAGGUGUAAUAAAUACUUUUUUACCAUGUUUAUCAUUUCUAUAAAACCAAUAAUUAUUAUUUUAAUUUAAUGGUUUUCUUAGAGAAUUAGUAAUUAAGGAUAAUAUAGCUAAUUUACUCAAUAAUUUGUUACAACUUAAAUAAAAUUUAAUGGUUUUCUUAAAAGACGUGAAAUUCCAAAUGUGACAAGUAUUAUAGAACAGAAGUAGUAUACUUUUAUUAAUUUGGUUUGUAUUCAGAAACAUAGAUAUUUAAUACUAACGACUGUCGAGGUUGAACAGUGAGGAGAAUUAUUGAAUAAAAAAAAUAACUAUUUCCUCCUUCCCAUUUUAUUUGUAUGAUUUGACAAAACACAGAUAUUAAGAAUUUAGUUUCAUAAAAAUUAUUUUGGCCUUUUUCAUUCUUAACUUAUUAAGAUAUUCUUAACUUAUUAAGAUAUUAAUAAAAGUCAUUUAUUUAAUAAACAAUUAUAAAGAUUAUUAUGAGAAAAAGUAAUUUUUUAAAUAUAUAAAUUUAUAAAUCUUAUAAAUAUUUUGAUAUAUUCAAAAAAAGAAUAACAAGCAAGUAAAAUUGUACGGAAUCAACUAUCAGUUCUAGCAUACUUUCAACAACUCAACCAAGCACUCAAAAUAGCAACUUAUAGGAUUCUACUUUAAAGGUUAUAGAGUCUGCUGAAAUCCCUGCUGUUGAAGUACGAAUAGAUCUGUUCUCCAGAAGCUGUUGCCAUAGGCAUUGCAGAAAACCUAACAUAGUCCCUCUCUGACUUAGUUCUGCAUAUUUCAGCAACAUACUUGAAGAGCUGCUUAAUUGGCAUCCACUGAGAAAAAGAAAAUAAAAAACAAAAAAAAUUACCAUCAUCUUUCUAACAAAAACCAUUAAUAUUGCACAUAAAGUAAAGAUUACUAACUUUCUUGGUUUCUUUUUUAGGAUUUAAUCUUAAAUUGAAAGGAAUAUUAUUUCAAAGUUAAAGCCAUCAAGGUGGAUUUGAUUUCUGAAGGCAUUGUAUAAACAAUUUCUUUCAUGGCUAAAGGAAAAAAUGAAAUAUUAUAUGAUUAUUUAAGAAACGAAAAUAAAGUAUUUCUAAUUAUUUGAAAUGAUAAAGGAGGGGAAUAAACAAUCAACUUUAUCUUUAACCCUUCAAGAUGUAAACUUGAUUUUUAAGUCCUAGAACAGUUUAUUGAUGUUAGCAUAUCCACUUUAAAGGCUUUCCUUUCUUAAGAUGUUUAAAACCACGUAUUAUGCGUCCCAUCCCGUACUACUACUCCUUCCGUCCCAAAAAAAUAGUUCAUUUCCUAUUUUCAUACAGAUUAAGAAAAUAACAAUUAUAAUGAUUAAAGGACAAUUUUAUUCAUAUGACUUUCUUAUUAUGCUCAUCUUAAUAACACCUGAGCAAUUAUUAUAUUAAAAUAAUAAGUAAGAAUUAAUGAUGAUUAUUGAAAAUAAGAUAAAUUUAAUAAGGGUAUAGUAGACAAUUUAAGGAUUAACUAUAAUGCAAAAAAGGAAAGUGGGCUAUAUUUUGGAACAAAUCAAAAAGGAAAGAUGAACUAUCUUUUUGGGAUAGAAGGAGUAUUUGAUUUAGAGGCUUAACAUAUUCUUUUUAUGUUUAGCAAAGUGGUCUCCAAGGUGUCAAUAACAUAUUGGUGAAAGUGUUGUUUUCUGACUAUAAGAAUAAAAGACUUGUUAUGGAACCAUUUCAAGACUAUAAGAUCAAUAGACUUUGUUUAAUAUACAUUUAUAUCUAUAUAAAGAAAUACAACAAAAUGCAUAAGCUAACACUCAACUCUCUAGUCUUAAAAAGAUAAAAUGAGUUAUUUUAAAACAACCUGAACAAAUAAUUACUUUCUGUGAAGUCCCAUCCACACAUUACCAGAGCUAAUUAAUUAAAAUUCUCAAAUACCUAAACCAUCAAGAACUAAAUAUUUUUGAAUUACAAAGUUUUCCUAAUUCAUAAAAAUAGUAUAAUGCGUUCUAAGAAAAGCAAAAGGAUCUCAUUUCUUAUUAUGAAGAACAAGAGGAAGAUCAGAGGAAGUAUGCCUGCAUUUAGCACAUCCAACAAUUGCCAUUAGCUUUUUAAUCAAAUAUGAAAACUCUGAAGUGAGAAUAGAGGAGUAGGACAAUGAAGAAAAUAGGAAUUAUAAGUUUUCUGAUUCUAAACAUUUAAAGGAAUUAUAAGUUUUCUGAUUCUAAACAUUUAAGGAUGAUCUUAUUUUCAAUGCUCCUACAGCUAUUCUACUAACCAUACACAUAGUAUUUAUAAGAACAACAUAAAAUAAUCAAAAAAAUACCAACAUAAUACAAACUUGGAAGUGAAAAUUCAGAACAACAAUAUCAAACAGUCCUUUAUUAACAAUAACAUAAUAAUAACAUCUAAAAUACCAACCAAUAUAUUAUCAAUUAUCCUGAAAAUAAUAUUUCACCUAUAACUAUAAGACCACACAGAAUAAACAAUAAUAGGACCAGGAAGCAGCCAUACCAGAUGCAAAACCAAGCGAGCAAAAUGGUACAAUUCGAAAACAUGUCCUCCUUGGGCGCUGAAGGAAUAAAGAAGAUGUUGAUUGCGAGUUACUGCCAGAAAGACGACAAGGCUUAAUGUUUCUAAACUUCUGCAUUUCAAACCAAUGGAUGUAAAAAUGCUUGCACAAAACUUGUUUGGCUAAAACUUGAAGUAAUUCUUUCAAUUUAUAGAGGAAAACUUUUCCUCCCAUAGUCCCCAAUGCAAAUUCCUUGCCAUUGGGGCUCAAGAAGUCAACACUUUGAAUAGUUCGUUGACAUCUUGACUUGGUUCUAUUUUCCUAACAAAAUGACAGAGUUUAAAUUGGGACACCAAGAAAAUACACAGAACCUUCUUAUCAAGCGUUCUUGUUGAAAAAUAAUACUGAACCAAAAGGAUUGUUAAUUAGCCAUGAGAUUGUUUUCCACUAGUGCACAAGCUGCUAAUAUAAUCAUACUCACUCAUCAGUAAACUAAAUCAUCCGAACUAACCGAAAAAUAUGAACCAAUCACAACCAAAAGAGCAAUUAAAUUCCUCUGAAAUUGGUUAUAAGGAAACAGAUCAAAGAAAAAAAUGAAACGAAUACAGAAUUUUGCUUACCUGGUUGAAAAUUAGCGUUUCUCUGGUUGGUGUAAACCGCUGCAAGCAAGAGAGAUAAAGCGAGGGUUGAGAAAUUAAGAAGAAAGAAUAAAAAAUAAACAGGGCGAAAACAGACAGAUAACGUACAGCUCUGCAGAAGAGGCAAGAGGCAACAUUGAUAGAGAGAGAAGAUCCAGCUAUAGCUAUAGUUAAAAAAAUGUCAAUCAUUCUGCACAUAAAAUAUUAAGAUAAAUAUAACAAAAUAUAACAAAAUCAAACGGAAACGGAAGCAGGAGGAGCUCCAUGAUUGAUAUCUGAAUCAGAUAGAAGCCACACUUAAGCGUGCCACGUGGGAGUGAGGCUAUCUGGAAGAUUCCGUCCGUCAAGCUGAGUCUAAAAUAAAAUCUCCCCCGCCGGCCGGUGAUACAAGCAGCUUUUUUGGUUGGAAUGGGAGUAAUUUUUUUUUAAUGCAUGUGAAAAAUAAUUCUGAAAAAUAUUUAGAAAAAAAUAACUAAAUUUAUCAAAAUUUUCUAUUUUUAAGGGCGUUUAGUUCAGCUGCACUUAAUAGCUGUCUUCCAAACAACUGCACUUAGUAUUUUAAUAUUUUUUAUGGUUAUUUUAUUUUUAAGUUUUAAUUAUUUAAAAAUAAUAUUUUUAUUAAAUAUUAUUUUAAAAAUUUAAAAUUUUUAUAUAUAUAAUACAUUUGAAUAAAAAAAAAAUACUAAUAUGAUCACAUUAAAGAUAAAAAAUAUAAAUAUUAUACAUUAUAAUAUAUAAAAAAAAAUAAUGAUUGUUAUUAAAAUUUUACUAAAUAUCAAUAUUUAUCAAAUAACCGUUGUUAACUAUCCGUUGAUAUAAAUAGCUAAACGAUGUUUAGUUUUUAGUUUUUUUUUUUAGUUUUUUUUUUUAAUCUAGAUUCAUUUGGUUUUUAGUUUAUUCAUUUCUUGAUAGUUAAUUCUCGUAGUGUUUGGUAAACUUAAAACAUCUCUAAAGUAACCAUGGAUUGUUAUAAUUCAUUUGCCACGUCUAAAAAAUUAGAAGUUAAAAACAAAAAUCUUUUUUAAUAUUGUUGUGUACUUAACAUAUAAGUCUGAUGUAUUAAAAAGAAAAAGAGACAUUUUCUGUCACGCUCUUUAUUUUCAGAAAGUCUAUUAGAUAGCGUGACUCAAUUUUUAUUUUUUUUUCCUAUUUAUUGAUUUUUUCUUCGUGCAUUAGGGAGCCAUUUCUAAAAUCUAACAUUUACAAAUACACAUUCUGAAACUCUACCAUCCACAACUUCUAUUUAUUAAGACACGUCACUCGCAAUUUAUGGUUAAUUAAUAUUUUACUAAAUAUUAUUUAGAAAGAUUAAUUAAUAUUUUUAAUUUAUAUAAUACAUUAAAAUAAAAAAUAAUAUAUAACUUUAAAAUAAAAAAUACAAACAUUAUAUCACAUAACAUAAAAAAAAUUAUAUCCUUAACAUUCAUUUAACAUUUUAAUAACAUAAAAAAAAUUAUGUCCUUGACGUUCAUUUAAUAUUUUAACAUAUUUUAACAUCAACCAUAAAUACCAACUACAACCACUAUCGGCUAUCAACCUGUAUAUUUAGCUAUAUCAAAAACGAUCACUAUAAACCAACCAAACAGCCAUAGGUGUAAUUUUCAAAUUUAAAUAUUAUAAUUUUAAUGGGAUAAAAAUUCAGAAAGUAGAAAAAUGAUUUGAAUAUUUUUAUUAUUUCUUUCCUUUUCUUCCAAUGUCAUUAUCUGGGUCCACAUCUACACACGUGUCCACAACGGAAAUUGAUACUUUUUUACAUUUUAAUACAUAAAGUUACCAAAAUUUACAUUCUCUACUAAAUUUUUACAUUUUCCCCCACUAAAUUAUUAACUUUAUAUAUCACCACCAUUGACCAAAUACAAGGUUAAUCUUAUCAAUCAACUCUCAUAAUUUAUUAACUCACCCUCCCUCUCACAAAUUCACAAUCACGCUCUAAAAUCUCCGUGUCCAAAGCCCAUGCUUCGCUAGUAAACUUUCCGGCACCCAUGUGGCCCAAGUCACUCAGGUCCACUUCUCCACCGUAGAUCACUAUGUACUUUCCAAUCCCAACCGUUGAAAAUACACUUUGAGCCGUUGGUUUUUCACCGCGUAUCUGUACUUGCUCCCACUUUCCAAGGGUCGGGUCGGGUCAAAGCUAUGCACAUCGUUCGUUUCCAUACCCGCGAACCCAUAUACGACCCAUAUUUUCCCUCCGGCUACGGCC
rnacentral:lncRNA from 1 species